ACUGCUACAGACAAUAUGGCAUCGAUCUAUCACAUGUGAGGCAGUUUGUAAACAAUGGUAGAGGAGGAGGACUGUGGUAGGGUGGUCUCUCGGAGGUCAGUUCACACACGAACGGCGAGAAUGAAUGGAGACAUAUCUUCACCUAUGAGUGAGGUGAACAAGUCAAAUGCCAAUGGGGAGGACCAGGUCCUACACAAUAUGUACCUCCGGGAAAAACUUAAAGACUUACAAAAAUCGUUGGAGAACGAGCUGGGGAAUAUCAUUGAAAAGCGCUUACAAGAUUUUGAGGAGGAGAACCUGCCAGUAUCAGAAUGUUUGGCCAGAAACACUAUGGCAUCGUUUGCAUCUGCAUUCCCACAAUCUCACACCAGAUGCAAAGAGGCAAAAAAGCCGGGUGAACUUCCUAGCCGUUUAUAUAUUGCUCGUCCUUCGUUGUUGAAGGAGCUACUGACUGUCAACCACAUGGAGAGUAUUUAUAACAUCUUUGUUGCCAUUUUAGUCCUUCUGUUCUUCAACAAAGUCUUGGAGGAAAUCAUUCAUUCUGGAAGCCCAAAUUUAGAUCUCUCCCUCAUAAUCUGGGCAUUUGGUGAACUAGACCGUGUAAUUGUCAUAUGGGUUUGCAUGUUCACAUGCACGUCAGUCCUGGUCUACAUGAGCUUCCACCAUUGGGCACACUUCAGACAUAAUAUGCCAAUUGUAUAUGAUGUAGUUGGAGGGAUGCUGUACAUCGUUUACCUGUGCCUCUUCCUCUACCUGCCCUUGCAAAGUCUUCUCAACAAUGACCUUCCUCCUGCCUCGUCUUUCAUUAUACUGUGUGAACAGGUUAGAAUGUUCAUGAAGACUUGGGCGUUUGUAAGAAGUAAUCUUAAUCGUGCAAUCCAAUUCAAAAAAGACGAUGAUGAUGUUCAGGGGAAAAGCGUUUGUCCUGAUUUUUCGUACUAUCUGUAUUUCCUCUUUGCACCAACAUUGGUUUAUAGAGAUGAAUAUCCAAGAAACCAAACUUGUGACUGGCAGAAAGUGAUUAAUGACUUAGGUCAGGUUAUUGGUUGCUUGUUUUAUACUCACUUUCUGUUUGUGCGAUUUUGUGUACCUGUCUUCCAGAAGUUUGGCCAGGAGUCUUUCAAUACGACAAAUCUCAUGGUGGCUGUGUUCUCCUGCAUGUUCCCGGGAUCUCUCGUUCUCCUCUGCGGGUUCUUUUCCAUCCUUCAUGCCUGGCUGAAUGCUUUUGCCGAGAUGAUGCGUUUUGCUGACAGAAUGUUCUAUAAGGACUGGUGGAACUCAACAUCAUAUGCUCGAUUUUACCGCACCUGGAACUGUGUAGUGCACGAUUGGCUGUAUGAGUAUGUAUAUAGGGAUAUCGUUGCAUUGCAGUUGCCUUUAUGUUUGUAAACAGUAAGGCUCGUCAAUUCAACAUCUUCCUCUGGGUUACUCUUAUAUUUGGCACUGGCAUUUUAAUGUGCUUGUACAGCAUGGAGUGGUAUGCCCGUAUCAAUUGUCCACCUGUUUAUGAGGGCUUUCUUGACUAUCUUGUACCACGAAGCUUAGCUUGUGAAUUUUCAUCCGUUGAAUAGGAAACAGUAUAAUUAUUUUGCAUUAAAAUUAAUUGCAAUGUGUUAGUUAAAAUUUCCUGAAUAGACCCAAUCAGGUAGUGUCACAAGUUUGUAUGAUAUGCAGCUGUACAAGUGUAUAGCUGCAUAUAUUAUAUUUUGUAUAACCUUUUAUCCAAACUAAUCCUAAAUAAAUAUUUUUUUAAAGCAUGAAAGAAUUUGUAAAACUUAAGUAUGUGGUAUUUUGGUACUGUAUUACCAAAAUUUGCAAUUAAAUGUUAACAUAAAUACCUUUAUAUGUCAAGCAAAAGCAUUGAUGUAUAGACUCCAAAACUGAGACAUUCUAAAGCAGUUUUGUUUUCAUUAAAUAAUAUAGAAAACGUAGUGAAUCUAAAAUGAAAUAAGAUCUUCACUACUUUCAAAGUGACCUUAUUAAUGCAAACUACAUAUUUUUAUGUCAGCAGUAAGAAAAUGCAUUUAAAUUACAGUACGUAUUUAUGUAUAUACAGUAGUAUAUAAACCUUAAAAAAUAUUCUGCCGAUAGUCUUCCUUCUUUCCAAUCGGACAGAAUUUAUUAUAAAUUUCUAUUUUGUACUCUAUGUGACUUUGAAUUUUGUGUGUGCAACAUUAUAUGUUCAGUAUCACCCAUGCACCAAUAUGCUCACCAGCAUCAGUUCGUUGUGAAAUGUGAAGUUACAUCUUGUACUGUAAUGUGGAAAGCGUUAUUUAUGGUGAUAUGGUGUCGAGACAUUUUCUUUAAGAUUCUCUUUUGAUGUGCCUCGCGUAAUAAAUUAGGCAAUGUUGUUUGCAAUUCAAUGAUGAAAGGCUUUUUAAUGUGCAUAUUUGGGCUAAAUGACAUCAUAUAAUACUUUAUGCAAUUGGCUCAGAAAACUCUAACUUUAAAGUGGAAGUAAAUGUUUGAAAACACUAGCAAAACAUUUUACUGAGACUUCUUGGUUAUUUAGUGUGAAGCAAUCUUGUUUUUGUUUUACAAAGUUAGUUAUUAUUAUAGCUUACCAAAUUUUUCUCUUUAGAUGUAAAAGUGCUUUUCUCUAUUUUUUUUCUUAUGUUGGUGAUAUAUUGCAAUUCCCACAAGUAAUUUCCACCUCAUACUUUUUGUUGUUCUUGUCUUACAUUUAAAGUUGGUGAAUACAUACAGUUUGCUGUUUUUGGUUAAAUUAUAUAUGGGAUUUGUGCAAUGUGAUUCAGCUUAGAGGAAUUAUAAUAUUAUCAUACAUGAAUGUGACAUUAAUUAUAUAGCAUAGAUGACUGUAUUUUUGUAUGGGUAAUUUUAAAAUGAAGACAGAGAUACAACUGAAGUCUUACCUUUAAAACACAUUGCAGGUAACAAUGACAUCUUAAUUGUCCACAUUGUCUUCCCAUCUCUCACUACACAUGCCAGCAGUUCAUCAAUAUAGUUGUUCCUAAGGAAGACUAUGGACUUGUCUUCAAUUCAUUCACUUUAAGUAAAUCUUGCAUCCACCAAGCUCUUCCUCUAGUAGGACCCAGACAAGCGCGUCAUUUGAUGUAAGAUCAAGGCCAUAGGGUGAAUGCAUAAGAAUCAUAAACCCCCAGACCUUGGAUGGUGUCAUCUGUUGCCCUGUGCUGGUUUUGGAUAGGGAUGAUUGUACUACAAGAUCCUUUUCCUUAGCGAUCCACAAUGUCUGCUCCUAAUGGCUUUGUUGAACUAUAUGAAUUUUAAAUUUGUCUUUAUUGACUAAAGCUCCUCGGGGGUUAUAAUCGGUCAAUGUACCCAUGUUCAUGCACCAAAAGACUGUCAGCAUUUUUUUUUUACUCUGAUUUUCAUUAUACUAGUAAUGUGAUAUUAUUUUUAUUUCAUAUACAUUAUUGUUAGUGAUAGUUUAUUAAAUGAUAUCGUGGCCAGUAGAGAAAGCUUUGACUUUUUUAUGAUAUGUUUACUUAAAAUAUGACAUAAUUUGCUUUCAGAUGUACAGUUCUUAUGUUUAUGCUUAGGGAAUAUUUAUAUUAAGAUAAAUGUAAUUUAAGAAUAGAUCUCAGUUGCCUACACUAAGUGUAAGCUUAGUUACUACACCCACAGCAACACAGAGAGUAGGGACUGAUUUAUGAAAGCUGCACAAGCAUGACAAGAAACCUCUUGAUUGUAUCUACAGUACUACACAUAUUGUACUUGGGAAAUAAGUAAUUUAUAACAAAAAUUAAAUAUAAAAAAACAAGGACAGGAUUAGUUUCUUUGUAAAGAAAAUGUAAAAAAAGCUAAGGUUGUGAUAAAGCUGAAUAGUGAUAAUUAUGAAACUACAGCAUUGUGAUGACAGUUUUUCAAAUGUUUUCAAUCUUUUAUUUUAUAUACAUUAAAAUUAGCUUUAAGUUGAUAUAAUGUCUUGUGACCUGUUAGCAUUACCCUAUGAUAAUGAGAUGGAGGCUGAAAGACAUACUCAGGAUAACUAUUCACUUGUAUGAUAUUUUCUAUGAGGUUCAUGACCAUGUUCGUGUUCUGUGAUGUAAAAAACUGUUCAAGAAUACAUUCAGAAGUAAUAUUUACUUGUCUGAGCUGUACAGUUAACAUUCACUGGAUGAAUGCUGAACUUGCCAUGUAUACAAAAUUGUAUUUUUGACAAAGUACAAAUAUAAAAAGUCAUCUUCAUC
rnacentral:misc_RNA from 1 species